AACACAAGGUUAGCCAACUAAAGCAGUCAUGUGACAAUUAUCUUGAAGAAUAACAUGCAAUUUACUUAGCAAGAGGAAUUUGAAUUUUUCUACAUUUUUUUUUUAAAGAUUGGCAACUGUUGCCAUUGUUUUGUUUUGUUUUGUUUUCUGCUUUAUCUCCCCAAACUACCCCCGUACAUAGUUGUAUAUCUUAGUUGCAGGUCCAUCUAAUUGUGGGAUGUGGGACACCGCCUCAACGUGGCCUGACGAGCAGUGCCAUGUCCGCGCCCAGGAUCUGAACCCUGGGCCGCCACAGUGGAGCGCCACUCGGCCACGGAGCCGGCCCCAAUUUUUCUACAUUUUAAAAGAUAAGAAAGUUAGUGAUUUCUGUGGACAGAAGAGUCUGAGGCAGGGGAAGAAGGAUGCACGAGAAUGUUCGGAUGUGUAAGGUGCUUUGUGAACACACGAGGCUGCUCACCUAUGGCUCCAUGACAGGGAUUGACAUCAGUGGUGGGGAAAUUUCAGCUUUUCCUCAAUCUAAGAAGAAAUUUAAUUAAAGGUAUGUGGAGCUUUGGGUAAUAGUAGACAACAAAUCUUAGAAUGAGAUCUUGGAAAAUUUCUUACUUUGCAUUUUGUUUUUGAGUAAAAGGCAGAUCGAAUGCAAGAGUCUCUAUUUGAAGGGUGUCUUAUUAUGGGACAGUUUGAAUUUGCUGUGGUCAGGGUCUGUGCAAGUAUUCAUGGCAUCGUGUACUUCGCAGGAUUGGAAGGGCCUUCAGAAGUGAGCUAGGUAAUAGAAGGGUCUGAUCUCCAGCAGGAUCUCAUCUUCCAUCCCAAAAGCCAACGUAGCAAAAGUAACUGAUUCAAGCACACUUACGGAGAACGUUUUCUGCGCCCCUUUCCCCUCAUUUUUUGAAAGACCAAAAUGAUCUUUCAAAUUCCAAGGUCUUAACACCUUAUAUAAAUGAAAAUAUACGUAAACCCAGAUCUUACCUGCCUGAAACAGGUGAGUACUGUUAAAUACCCUUUAGAGAGAAAGCAUAAAGGUCAGCGGCUUGGCUGUGCCUUUAGCUACUUUCCUAAUAUCUCAUCUUUCCCAUCCAGGAGGAAUCCUGCGCGAUGUACUAAAUCAGGGUAAGUGACUGAGCUGGAUGGUAACUAAAAAGUUUAGAGAGUUUGACUCAUAUGGUUAUUGUGUGUAUAAAUGAUGUGUUUUAUGAACCUUGAUAUGUGAUAAAAUCUCAUAAACAUUUAUAGAAGUACUCAAAUCACCUUAGAUUAGAUAGUGAAAUUUUAAUUAAAAGUUCCCUACAUUUGCCCUUAGACUUCCUAGUUGAUUUCUUGGAAUCCUGGCAGCUUCUGAGCAACAGUUUUCUCAAGGCUCUGAGUCAGUAGUUAUGUCUUUUAAGAAUUCAAUCAGUAAUUUUAUCCUUGUUCUGGAUAUGUUUCCA
rnacentral:lncRNA from 1 species